rnacentral:rRNA from 1 species
ACUGCUAUCGGAUUGAUACUAAGCCAUGCGAGUCUUUGUAGCAAUACAAGGCAGACGGCUUAGUAACACGUAGUCAAUCUACCCUAUGGACGGGGAUAACCUCGGGAAACUGAGAAUAAUACCCGAUAGAUCAUUAUACCUGGAAUGGUUUAUGGUCGAAAUGAUUUAUCGCCGUAGGAUGGGACUGCGGUCUAUCAGCUUGUUGGUGAGGUAAUGGCCCACCAAGGCUAUAACAGAUACGGGCUCUGAGAGGAGAAGCCCGGAGAUGGGUACUGAGACACGGACCCAGGCCCUAUGGGGCGCAGCAGGCGAGAAAACUUUGCAAUGUGCGAAAGCACGACAAGGUUAAUCCGAGUGUUUUCUGCUAAAGAAAUCUUUUGUCAGUCCUAAAAACACUGAUGAAUAAGGGGUGGGCAAGUUCUGGUGUCAGCCGCCGCGGUAAAACCAGCACCUCAAGUGGUCAGGAGGAUUAUUGGGCCUAAAGCAUCCGUAGCCGGCCGUGUAAGUUUUCGGUUAAAUCUAUACGCUCAACGUAUAGGCUGCCGGGAAUACUGCACAGCUAGGGAGUGGGAGAGGUAGACGGUACUCGGUAGGAAGGGGUAAAAUCUUUUGAUCUAUUGAUGACCACCUGUGGCGCAGGCGGUCUACUAGAACACGUCCGACGGUGAGGGAUGAAAGCUGGGGGAGCAAACCGGAUUAGAUACCCGGGUAGUCCCAGCUGUAAACAAUGCAAACUCAGUGAUGCACUGGCUUGUGGCCAGUGCAGUGCCGCAGGGAAGCCGUUAAGUUUGCCGCCUGGGAAGUACGUACGCAAGUAUGAAACUUAAAGGAAUUGGCGGGGGAGCACCACAAGGGGUGAAG